rnacentral:rRNA from 1 species
AUGAACGCUGGCGGCGUGCCUAAUACAUGCAAGUCGAGCGAACAGACGAGGAGCUUGCUCCUCUGACGUUAGCGGCGGACGGGUGAGUAACACGUGGAUAACCUACCUAUAAGACUGGGAUAACUUCGGGAAACCGGAGCUAAUACCGGAUAAUAUAUUGAACCGCAUGGUUCAAUAGUGAACGACGGUUUUGCUGUCACUUAUAGAUGGAUCCGCGCCGCAUUAGCUAGUUGGUAAGGUAACGGCUUACCAAGGCAACGAUGCGUAGCCGACCUGAGAGGGUGAUCGGCCACACUGGAACUGAGACACGGUCCAGACUCCUACGGGAGGCAGCAGUAGGGAAUCUUCCGCAAUGGGCGAAAGCUUGACGGAGCAACGCCGCGUGAGUGAUGAAGGUCUUCGGAUCGUAAAACUCUGUUAUUAGGGAAGAACAAAUGUGUAAGUAACUAUGCACGUCUUGACGGUACCUAAUCAGAAAGCCACGGCUAACUACGUG